UAGAAAUAGACUGUAUCUAAAGAAGAUAAUGCGCUCUAGUGUUGUAAAGGGCUCAAACAAAGUUGCAUUUAUCUUGGCUAGAAGGAAUUGAAAUUUGUUGACCUCAACAAAAUAAGAGAAACCUGAGAAAUCGUUGUUAAUUAUUUGUGUACAGAUUGUCGGAACAUGACAGAAACAAUAAAAACGCAGCGUAUGUAGACAAUUCAAAGAGAUUACGUUAAAAUUUAUCAUUUUUUUCGGGUGACAACUUUUGUAUGGGCCAUAUCGGGACGGGGGGGAGCACAGAAUUGUGUAUCACAUUAAGUGUGAGAUGAAAGAAAACAUAUGGAAAUGAGAGAAGGUCAGAAAUACAAAUAAAACGUGCUGGAGAAAAACAAAAAACAAGUGAUUGUGUAUAAAAGAUGUACAGUGAAAUCUCUUUUCCCGAAACAAACGAACAUCGCAUAGAAGAAAAUGGAAAAUGAUUGUAAAAUGACGACAAGAAAUCUGGAAAAAACAUAUAAGCACAGACUUUCGCAUCAACUCAAACCGAAUUAAAACAGCAGCAAAACAGGCAAUGGAAGGCUGCUGGAACUCACGAACUAGCGAAGCGUCUUAGAUGAACAAUUGGAAUGAACAAAUGGAAUGAACAGAAUGAACAGCCGAAAUGUUAAAUGUAGAUCACAGUCAGUUCCGCGCCUAGUUCAAACGAACCAGCUGUGAACGAUUUGGUGCAAUAAAUGAACUAAAUGAACGAUAUUGUCGAAUGUAGAUCACAGUCAGUUCCGCGCCUAGUUCAAACGAACCAGCAGUGAACGAUUUGGUGCAACUCUGGCGUGCGAACUUGUGGGGCGGGCCGCGCCAUUUUAUGUGUGCCGGUGUCCUGGCCCCAGCGCGAGCCGCGUGCUCUUCCGCUUUUGCUCUGUCAUCAGCAACGUAAUUUCCGCCCUGCCUGGCCCGGCUGUGCUUUGUGUCUGCGCGUGGGUGGGCCAAAAAAAAAAAAAGAAAGUAAAAGAAAAGAAAAGAAAAGAAAAAGCAAAAUGCGAAACAAAAAAGGAUUAAGGGCUGGAGAAAACCGUGUAACCGAGACAAAAACUGCAGCGAUUGACCUCCAGCCGGAGUUCAUAAACAUCAAGUGGCCGGCAUAUCAAAUGGCCAAUGGUUCGGGCAACAAGUGAUCCGCUCCCAGUUGUGGGACAGGUAUCAAAAACAACAACAACAGCAACAACAACAACUUGGCAGUUCAUCAAAUUCUCAUGUGACCAAAGCCCAAAAGAACCCACCCGCCCGUCUCCUGCCACCUGGCUCCAACUCCGACUGCAACUGCAAGCAGAGCUGUUGCACCCAGCACUUGUUGGAUUCUAGGGCUUGGCCGUUGCCGCCUCGGAAAUUCCCAUUCCACCCGAUCGUGGCGACCCUUUUUGACAGUACCCAGUAACCAGGCGCGUGAUGGAACGCCGGACAAUGGAAGUGCCACCGAGGAGUGUGCGUGCGUGUGUGUGUGUUUGUGUGUGCCCCGCCUGGUUUGUGGCAACAGGUAGCGAGUGCAUUUGUAUGCAGCAUGGCGGAUGCGCCGGCCGAAGCGUUUAUUUCUUCAUUUGACGCAAAUGAUGUUCGACACAAGCCUGGAAUGCACUAAACCGCUAACUAAGCACAAUCCGAAGCCCGAAUCCACCAAUCCCCCAAUCCCAAAACCCAAGCCCAAACCCGAAGCCGAAGCCGAGAGCUGAUGUCGAAACUGAAACCGAAGCUAAGCCAGAACCAGAGUUUUCUGACCGCAGCACGCAAAGGGAAAGGCAGCUGACGGCAACAAUAACAACAUAUGGACAAAUACACUAGUUUUCGGAACUUCCUCCUCCUCGACGACAUCAAAUCUCAAACCCUGCAGCUGAGCUCAA